rnacentral:rRNA from 1 species
AAGACCUUGCGCGAAUGGAGCGGCCGAUGUCAGAUUAGCUAGUUGGUGAGGUAAAGGCUCACCAAGGCGACGAUCUGUAGCGGGUCUGAGAGGAUGAUCCGCCACACUGGGACUGAGACACGGCCCAGACUCCUACGGGAGGCAGCAGUGGGGAAUUUUGGACAAUGGGCGCAAGCCUGAUCCAGCCAUGCCGCGUGCGGGACGAAGGCCUUCGGGUUGUAAACCGCUUUCAGCCGGAAAGAAAUCGCCAAGACUAAUACUCUUGGUGGAUGACCGGAAGAAGAAGCACCGGCUAACUACGUGCCAGCAGCCGCGGUAAUACGUAGGGUGCGAGCGUUAAUCGGAAUUACUGGGCGUAAAGGGUGCGCAGGCGGUUUUGCAAGCCAGACGUGAAAUCCCCGGGCUUAACCUGGGAACU